UACGUAGGGGGCAAGCGUUGUCCGGAAUUAUUGGGCGUAAAGAGCGUGUAGGCGGUCCGGUAAGUCAGCUGUGAAAGUCAAGGGCUCAACCCUUGAAUGCCGGUUGAUACUGUCGGGCUAGAGUCCGGAAAAGGCGAGUGGAAUUCCCGGUGUAGCGGUGAAAUGCGCAGAUAUCAGGAGGAACACCGGUGGCGAAGGCGGGUCUCUGGGCAACAACUGACGCUGAGGAGCGAAAGCGUGGGGAGCGAACAGG
rnacentral:rRNA from 1 species